CUUUUUAGGGCCGCACCUGCAGCAUAUGGAAGUUCCCAGGCUAGGGCUUGAAUCAGAGCUGUAGCUGCCAGCCUAUGCCACAGCCACAGCAACAAGGGAUCUGAGCUGCGUCUGCGACCUGCACCACAGCUCAUGGCAACACUGGAUCCUUAACCCAUUGAGCAAGGCCAGAGAUCAAAGUUGCAACAUUAUGGAUACUAGUUGAGUUCAUUACCACUGAGCCUCGAUCGGAACUCCUCCCCUCCCUUUUUUUUUUUUAAAGACAGGCUGCAUCCUCCUUCCCUUGCUGAAGAAUUAGAGGUGCCAGGAAGGGUCCUGGAGGUGGAGGGGAGUGUGUCAGUCCUACAGGGCUGGGGAAGGCCUUUUAGAGAUGGUGAUGUUUGGUUUGAACUGUGAAAGAUUAGUAGGGUCUCCAGACAGGGGACCUGUGAGCCUGUGAGGGGCAGAUAGGCAGAAUGUGGCAGACAAAGGGAGCAAGAGGAACCGCAGAGUGUAAGGGAUUGGAGGUGAGUGGGGAGGCCAGGCCAGAGGGAUCUGACUGAUGUCUUGCAGGUAAUGGGGGAGCCAGGAGGUUGCCAGAUAGGGGAGUGCUGUGAGCAGGUGUAGAGCUGGACUACAGACAUGAGGCUGGGAUUACAGCUACCGGGAGAAUAAGAUUCUGAGCUGGGGUCUGUGGGGGCACGGAGGUCCCCAGGCCUUAACAUAGUGUCUAUUUAAUUCUCAUAAGCCCACAUUCAUUUCCAUCUUGCCAUCCCCCAAGCCUCCAAGUCUUGGGCCCCCAUCAUCUCUGGCCUGAAAGACUAUGGCAGCCUCUUCACUGGGCUUCCCUUCUGCACACCCCCACCCACAACAGCCCAUUCCUCAUAAAGGACAAAACAGAAGGGGUUUACAAAACAUUACCAUGGUGACUCUACCCCCCUGGCUAAGACCCUUCAAUGACACCCCACUGCCUUGAGCAUCAAGACCAAAUUUGAAUUCUUAACUUGGCAUUCCAGGCCCUUAGCAAUCAGCCCCUACACCCAUUAUGUGCAGCCUCCUCUCCCUAAAACAUUCCAGCUGACCUGGGCUAGUUACAAUCUCAGUCACCGGCCUCUUAGCCUUUGUCCUCUCCCACCUCUCCAUCCACUAUGGAUAUGCCAUCUUAGCCUUUAAGUAGCAGGUUAAAGCUACCAAGUCUAAGUCACCUUUCCAAUCCUUGUCCUCAGUGCCCUGCUUUUGAUGUUACCGUUGUGGCUCAGUGGGUUAAGAACCCUACAUAGUGUCUGUGAGGAGGCCAGUUUGAUCCCUGGCCUUGCACAAUGGGUUAAGGAUCUGGCACUGCCGUGAGCUGUGGUGUAUAUAGGUUGUAGAUGCAGCUUGGCUGUGGUGUAGCUACAGCUCCGAUUCGACUCCUAGCCUGGGAACUUCCACAUGCUACAGGUGUGGCUGUAAAAAGGAAAGGAAAAAAAAAAGUGGGGGGUGGGUGGGAGUUAUUCUCAAAAGAAAUACCGCCUGGGAGUUCUUGCUGUAGCACAGCAGGUUAAGGACCUGACAUUAUCUCUGUGGCCGGCAUGGGUUCAAUCCCUGGCCAGAUGCAGUGGGUUAAGGAUCCAGCAUGGUUUCACCUCAGAUGUGAUCCCUGACCCGGGAACUUCCAUAUCCUUGAGUAUGGCCAAAACAAAACAAAAAAACCCCAAAACAAAAACAACCCCCCCUAAUCCAGACACCAGACUCCAGGAGGGAUAUGCUGGGACAAAGGUGAAUCCUCAAAGACAUUACAUAUUGGCAGAGUUGUGAUGGCAGCCUCUGUGUACAGGGGCUUCUAGGUGCUAGGCUCUGUGCUAGGGGUGACUCCCAUAUGACCAUAUUUCAUCUUACAACAACCCAGUGGUGUAGGGACCACCAGUGGUGUGGGGACCACAGCACCCCUGAUUUACACACAAAGAACCAGCAGUUUAGCAAGCAAGUGCUUUGCUCUGAGUCACAUGGCUGGAUCUACAGCUGGCACCAAGAGCUACCUGCUGUCAAAAAUACAUUGAUGAGGCAGAUCUGUGGCAUCCUCUGGUAAAGGAAACCAGCCCAGGUUCUGGAGGACAGUGGCAGCUAUAACAAAGGAGGGAGCAAGGGCAAGCCCUGGGGCUGCAGGAUGGGAGAUGGGACAGUAAGAAAGAGCCAUGGAAGCACAGCAUGAGGCGGAAGAUGGAUCAGGUGUGGACUUUUCAGAGCUAAGCCCUUGGAAGGUAGGUGGUGGGGAUGCUGAGUCCCGAUUAUUUCUGGAACUCAAUGGGGGCAGACGGGCAGCCUCAGAAAAAGUUGGUGCAAAAGGGAAGGCAAAAGUUGCUGGAGUGGAACUCUCUGGUGCCUUAGUGGUUAAGGAUUCCUUGUUGUCACAACUUGUGGCAUAGGUUCGAUCCCUGUCUGGGGAACUUCUGCAUGCCCCAUGCGAGGCCAAAAAAGUUGCUUGGGUAUGCACCCAGGAUAGGAAUCUGGUUUGUGAAUGGAGGCAAGAGGUAGCAAAUCUGAUUCUGUCCACAAGAGGGUGCCCAGCACCAGGCAAUGAAGCUGCCCUGGGACUUGGGGGUGGUUUGUUGCUGGUUCCCCAGCCCUCCUGGGAGGGAAGAAGUGGAGAAGGGGAUAAACCCAAUUCACUACCUUGAAAUUCCAGCAUCAGAAACAAGCACAGAUGGAAAGGAUGAAUUUAGGUCGGUGAGUGUUUUCUCACUGAGACCCUUAUCAUCUCAGGCCAGUUAUUUCCCUUUAUAUUGAGAAACACAAGUCAGUAGGUUUCUUGACUGCAUCCUUGGUAAAAUUUGAACGGUCUCUUCCUUUGAAACAUACCUUCCAAAUGGAACAACUAUUUCCUAUUUUCCAUCUCCCUGUGUCUCUACGACAAGGAAUCAUACAGUAAUACAUAUAUCAAACAGUAGUGCAGUAUUUCAAUAAUUGCAAUUUCCAGGAUUCUAUUUUCAAAUCUGCCUAGUCUCUCAGGUUUUGCUCAUUUUUUUUAGCACCAUCUUUAGAGGUUUCAGAGUUAUUUUAUAUUCUGUGCCUGAUAAUAACAGUAUCUGAAAUUCCACGGGUUUUAUUUAUUUACUUACUUAUUGGCUGCAACUGUAGCAUGUGGAAGUUUCCAGGCCAGGGUUUGGACCUGUGACACAGCAGCAACCCAAGCUGCUGCAGUGACAAUGACGGAUCCUUAACCUGUUGGACCACAAGAGAACACCAGGAAGUAUUUUAUUGUUGCUCCAAGUUUAAGAAUUUUCACUGAGAGAAAAUCAACACUUUCAGCAAAUUUCCCUCAUGGCUCUGCUUCUGAAUCUUGGUUUUCACAGACAUAUUUCUCUCCAAUAUGGACAAUCAUUCUACUCACGAUUGGCGCAUCAAUCUUAACUUCCAAUACUUGCCCUUUACUUAGGAAGCUCUUCAGGACUGUUUUUAAUCCAGUAAGAGUGGCUUCAUCGAAAGGAGAUGUAGUGAUAACUGCAAGGUACUUCUCCAGUGUGGACAGACAUCAUGGUAGAAAAAGCAGAAAUGACUCCAGGGUUAUUGCUCAAGCGACCAUUUUCAGCAAGCAAAUUGAUCAGGUUGGCUGUGAGGGGAGAAAACCUCUCUUUUGCUAUCAUGUCAUAUAGGCUUUUCACUUUAAUGCAAUGCUUUACAUAGGGAUUCAUAAUAGGAGCAACCAAGUUUUCCUUCAAGAUUUGUGCUACUCCCAACAAUUCCUUUGCUACUUGUUCCAGUUUAUUCUGAUUAGAAACAGCAGAUUAAAGAGCAGUGACAUAGUGACCUUCGAUACCACAUAUGUGAACAGGUGGCCUGACCACGGAUGUACUGAAGUAUUAUUGCCCCUGCUGGGAGGUCAGGACACUGCUGGGCAGCCUC
rnacentral:lncRNA from 1 species